rnacentral:rRNA from 1 species
AGAGUUUGAUCCUGGCUCAGAAUCAACGCUGGCGGCGUGCCUAACACAUGCAAGUCGAACGGGAAAGCACUUUUCGGAGUGUGAGUAGAGUGGCGAACGGGUGAGUAACGCGUGGGUGAUCUGCCCUUUGGUGGGGGAUAACCCGGGGAAACCCGGGCUAAUACCGCAUGAGCCUGCAUUUGUAAGCGAGUGCAGGGAAAGUUUUUGGAUGCCGAAGGAGGAGCCCGCGUCCGAUUAGCUAGUUGGUGAGGUAAGAGCUCACCAAGGCGACGAUCGGUAGCCGGUCUGAGAGGACGGACGGCCACACUGGGACUGAGACACGGCCCAGACUCCUACGGGAGGCAGCAGUGGGGAAUUUUGGGCAAUGGGCGAAAGCCUGACCCAGCAACGCCGCGUGGAGGAUGAAGGUUUUCGGAUCGUAAACUCCUGUCUAGAGGGACGAAGCAAGUGACGGUACCUCUGGAGGAAGCCCCGGCUAACUCCGUGCCAGCAGCCGCGGUAAUACGGGGGGGGCGAGCGUUGUUCGGAAUUACUGGGCGUAAAGGGCGCGUAGGCGGUUUCGGAAGUCAUGGGUGAAAGUCCUCGGCUCAACCGAGGGAUUGCCUGUGAAACCACGGGACUGGAGUGCUGGAGAGGGAAGUGGAAUUCCCAGUGUAGCGGUGAAAUGCGUAGAUAUUGGGAGGAACACCUGUGGCGAAGGCGGCUUCCUGGACAGACACUGACGCUGAGGCGCGAAAGCCAGGGGAGCGAACGGGAUUAGAUACCCCGGUAGUCCUGGCUGUAAACGAUGAACACUUGGUGUGGGGGUGAUGAAAGUCCCUCUGUGCCGCAGAGAACUCGAUAAGUGUCCGCCUGGGGAGUACGGGCCGCAAGGCUGAAACUCAAAGGAAUUGACGGGGGCCCGCACAAGCGGUGAGCAUG